rnacentral:rRNA from 1 species
CAGUCGCGUUGGUUGGGAAUCAGUCUUGCUUCUGCAUGAUGUACUUUCCAGUCAAUGGGUCAGCAUCAGUUUUGACUGCUGGAUAAAGGCUGAGGGAAUGUGGCACCUUCGGGUGUGUUAUAGCCCUCGGUUGUAUGUGCCGGAUUAGACUGAGGAACGCAGCUUGCAGCAAUGCCGGGUUCCGCCCCACGUACAAGCUUAGGAUGUUGACAUAAUGGCUUUAAACGACCCGUCUUAAAACACGGACCAAGGAGUCUAACAUAU